AAACUGAAAAUUAAAUAAAUAAGUUUUGUAUUGUUCAACAUAUAUUUAGUUUAACGAUUUCAAGAAUAUUCUUAUAAUUAAUUUUACAUAAUUUCAUAUCUAAAUUCAGAUCCAUGCGCUCGAAUUGAACUAAAAAUUUUGGAUUCCAAACAUUGUUAUUUGAACAAAGCCAAAAACUAAAAUAACAAAACCCAAAAGAAACCAAACUCAAA
rnacentral:lncRNA from 1 species